rnacentral:pre_miRNA from 14 species
CACUAUGAUUCUUUCUUGGGACUCGGAAGCUUAUCAGAAUCUCCAGGGGUACUUAUUAUUUGAAAAGUCCCCCAGGUGUGAUUCUGAUUCGUUUCCCUCUCCUGCUCCUCCUCCUCCUCCUC